GUAUGGAUUCUUGAGAUUUAUUCUGACAGUGGUAAAUGUUUUCACAUCAUAUAAUUUUACAGUAUGAUCAAAAAUUCUCCAGAAAGUAAUUAGCUGAAUAAAAUGCAACAUCAUGCAAAUGUAGUCCUUUUAAAAUAUUGCUCUGACAAUCAGCAUUAAUAAAGCCAAAAUAAAAAACUUAAUCAGAUCAAGAAGAUGAAGUUACAUUUCUGGAAAAGGGCACACAUGAAAGUGCAGGUGCUGAGGCUGGGGAGGGGUCACCAUCCCAGCCCGGGGCCCCCAAUCUGGCUGCCCCCCGCCCAUAAGCCCAGCACCCUCCUGGUUGAAGGUUGGAGUCUUCAUUUGUUCAAUGAGAGUAGCCAAGUACAGCUCCUGAGACUCAGCCUGCUGGGUAGUCUUCGGAUAAGAAACUAAUGCAGUAUUUCCAAAAUUGGCAUCUUACAGAAUGCUGUUCCACGGGAUGUUGCUUGAUGAAUUC
rnacentral:lncRNA from 1 species